rnacentral:rRNA from 1 species
AUCAACUUUCGAUGGUAGGAUAGAGGCCUACCAUGGUGGUAACGGGUAACGGGGUGUUAGGGCACGACACCGGAGAGGGAGCCUGAGAAACGGCUACCACAUCCAAGGAUGGCAGCAGGCGCGCAAAUUACCCAAUCCCGACACGGGGAGGUAGUGACAAUAAAUAACAAUACGGGGUUCUUUCGGAUCUCGUAAUUGGAAUGAGUACAAUUUAAAUCUCUUAACGAGGAACAAUUGGAGGGCAAGUCUGGUGCCAGCAGCCGCGGUAAUUCCAGCUCCAAUAGCGUAUAUUAAAGUUGUUGCAGUUAAAAAGCUCGUAGUUGAAUUUCGGGACCAAUCUGCCGGUCGUGCCUCUGGUACGCACUGGUUUUAUUGGUUUCUCCCUUCUGACGAACCAUAAUGUCAUUAAUUUGGUGUCAUGGGGAAUCAGGACUGUUACUUUGAAAAAAUUAGAGUGUUUAAAGCAGGCUCACGCUUGAAUACAUUAGCAUGGAAUAAUGAAAUAGGACGUUUGACCCUAUUUUGUUGGUUUCUAGGAUCGACGUAAUGAUUAAUAGGGAUAGUUGGGGGCAUUAGUAUUCAAUUGUCAGAGGUGAAAUUCUUGGAUUUAUUGAAGACUAACUACUGCGAAAGCAUUUGCCAAGGAUGUUUUCAUUAAUCAAGAACGAAAGUUAGGGGAUCGAAGACGAUCAGAUACCGUCGUAGUCUUAACCAUAAACUAUGCCGACUAGGGAUCGGAUGAUGUUAAUUUUUUAAUGACUCAUUCGGCGCCUUACGGGAAACCAAAGUGUUUGGGUUC